GUAGGUGAACCUGCGGAAGGAUCAUUAACACGUAUCCAACGUAUCAACCCCUUUAUAUGAACCAUCAACCUGCCCAUUGACUGCGUUUGAAACUGAAAGCAAUUUCAGCGAAGCAGCUUGCAGCUGGGAACGGCUGUUUUGCUGGGCUCUGCCUCACUUUCGUAAAAAGAAGAGAGGUACUCCGCGUAGUACUGCGUGCCUUUUUUCUUUCAACCCAUUCUCUGGUUUGACGAAAUUAACACUUCUUGUUGGGCUCUUCGGAGCUUGCAGGAUUUUAUUUAUUGAACGCUGAACAACUUUUAGCAACGGAUGUCUUGGUUCUC
rnacentral:misc_RNA from 1 species